AGACCAUUCGCGCGCUGGGGCGCGGCGGCGGCGCAGCGACAUAGAAAACACUUCCUUAGGGUUGGCUCGGCUCGGCUCGGCUAAGAUCAGUCUUGCCGGUGAAACGAGAACAUGCUGGCUCGGAAAUCCGUUCGUGUGAACUGCGAGGGACGCAAAGCCUCGGUGUGGGAAUGGUACAGCCUUUCGCGCCGGAAGGCGGGACUAUUGGCCUGCCAGGAAGGAGUCGGCCGGCUCGGCUCGUACUGCGCAGACUCAGAUGCCACCAUAUUGUGUGUAGGAGGAAACUUGAGUUUGGGGAAUUAUGUUUAUGUGAGUGUAGGUGCUUCAAACGAAAUAAAUUGUUUGGAAUACUAAAUAUCUCUAGAGAAACAGAGGUAAUCUACAAAAUGGCAGAUAGCUUGGAUGAAUUUAUUGAAGAGCAAAAAGCGAAACUGGCCAAAGACAAAGCAGAAUUGGAAAGUGAUCCACCGUACAUGGAGAUGAAGGGAAAGGCGUCAGAGAAACUCUCUGAAAACAGUAAAAUAUUAAUCUCUAUGGCUAAGGAGAACAUUCCACCAAGCAGCCAACAACAGCCCAAGGGACCCUUAGGAAUUGAAUAUGGCUUAAGUUUACCGCUUGGAGAAGAUUAUGAACAGAAGAAACAUAAAUUAAAAGAAGAAUUGAGGCAAGAUUAUAGACGAUAUCUUACUCAGGGCAUUACACAAGCAAAGAGAAAGAAAAAUUUCCUAUCUACUGGUGAAACAGACCCAUCUACUCUGGGAGUUUCUCUUCCCAUUGAUGAGCGGUUAUCUGCCAAGGAAAGAUUGAAACUUGAACGCAACCGAGAAUACAAUCAGUUUCUCAGGGGUAAGGCAGAAUCCACAGAAAAAGUCAGACAGGUAGAAAAGAAUAUUGAGCCUAAGAGUCAAAGAAAUAAAAACCCUAUUAGUCAAGGUAAAUCUGAUCUACCUUUACAAAUACAGACUGCAUACACACAUUCAGAGGGACCCUGGCUAAGCCGGCAAGAGGAGGGCCUGUACCGACAGCUAGAUGGUGAAAUUGAAUUAAGGAGCAGAAGACCGCUUAAACAAACAAAGGAAGAAGUAGGCAUUUCUGGUGCAGAACAUCCAAGCCUUUCUGGCAGCGCUGGUGUCCCAGAGAGAAGAGCCCGCAGGGCUAACGGGGAGCGGGUGCUUGACAGACAACAUUGCAGAGCCGACCGAGACCCUGGUGUGAGUGAAGACAUGGACGAGAGGUUUAGAUUUGAAAGUGAUUUUGAUAGAAGACUUUUGAGAGUGUAUACAAAUGGCAGGCCGCAUGGGAGCAGACGAGGGUAUGUGGAUGGGGAUGAUGUCCCAGAAGAGCCAAACACACAGAUCUCAGCUGCUGAAAAUAAAAGUGUUCACUGUAAUGGACCACCCAGAUCUGCUGAUCUCGAUAUCACAAGUCCAUUUGCAGGCAUGCUCUUUGGAGGUGAAGAUCGAGAACUUACCAAGAGAAGGAAGGAGAAAUAUAGGCAAGAACUACUAGAACAGAUAGCUGAGCAACAGAAGAAGAAGAGACGAGAAAAAGAUUUAGCAUUUGGAAUUACAACUUCUGGAGUACAAGACCCUGAAAAAUCGUGGAGUGGCUCCCACACAUCAUUGCAGUUAAGUAAGGAGGAGCCUGAUAGACUAAAGCAGUUUAGUUUGACACCAAGACACUUUGAAGAGAUGCCACCUGAGAGGCCCAGAGUAGCUUUCCAGACACCUCCCCCUCCCUUCUCUGCCCCGUCUAGCCCAUCCGUCCCACCAGUUCAUUCCGCCCCUUCUCACAAUGAAGACUUGCACAGUGGACUCGGCAGCACCCUUGGUGAACUGGCGCAUCCCAGGGUUCUGCCUGUGCCUCUGAAUCCACCCCCGCCUCCGCUCCUUGCCCCUCCAGCUUCUAACUAUCGAACUCCUUACGAUGAUGCGUACUAUUUUUACGGUGCCAGAAAUACACUGGAUCCCAAUAUUGUAUACUAUGGUUCAGGAAUGAUUGGAGGACAGCCUGCCCCUCAUGUCUCUGCCCCUGUCACUCACCAGGUAGCACCGCCAGCUGUGAAUACUGUUGGACAGAAUGAACAGAAAGUUCUUAGUGAUGGACUCAGGAAUUCAGGACUGGUCUUUGAGGAUAAGCCAAAACCUUCUACACAGUCGCUUCAGUCUUACCAAGAAGCUUUGCAGGAGCAGAUUCGGGAAAGAGAAGCAAGAAGGAAGAAAGAACGUUUAGAAAAAGAAGAAUAUGAAGCUAAAUUAGAAGCCGAAAUGAGGAUCUACAACCCCUGGGGGAAGGGCGGAGGUGGUGCUCCUCUCAGAGACGCCAAAGGAAAUCUGAUAACUGAUUUGAAUAGGAUGCACAGACAGAAUAUAGAUGCCUACCAUAACCCAGAUGCAAGAACAUAUGAAGAUAAAAGGGCUGUUGUAUCUAUAGACCAAAAUUUAGCCACUUCAAAUGCUGAGAACCUAGAAGAUUCUGCAAAUAAAAACUCAGGUCCUUUGCAAACACAAAGCUCUCCUUUUGCCCGGGGAAACACAUUUGGUGAGCCACUCAGCGAGCUUCAGAUUAAACAGCAAGAAUUAUACAAGAAUUUUCUUCGUUUUCAGAUUGAGGAAAAGAGACAAAGAGAAGAAGCCGAGCGCGAGAAGCUGAGAGUUGCUGAAGAGAAGGAAGAAAAGCGGCUUGCGGAGCAGAGGGCAAGGAUUCAGCAAGAGUAUGAGGAGGAGCAGGAGCGGAGGAGGGAGAAGGAGGAGGAGGUGUGUCUGUUUCUCCAGCCAAAGUGAAAGAGUUUUGGUGACUUGAGAAGAUGCGCGCAAAGGUUGAAAAAUGAAGAACUUAUUCGGUUAGCUGAAGAGAGGCGAAAGGAAGCGGAAAGAAAGAAGAAAGAGGAGGAAGAAAAACAUAACUUGCAACUUCAGCAUUACUAUGAGAGAGAAAAUAUUAUCGGAGAUGAAACAAAGCACUUGAGACAGCCUUCUCCUGUAGUUCCUGCUCUUCAGAACAAAAUUGCAAGCAAACUCCAAAGACCUCCUUCAGUCGACACCAUCAUAAGUUCCUUCAUUCACGAAAGCUCCAUGUCCCGGGCACAGUCUCCUCCAGUGCCUGCAAGGAAGAACCAACUCCGUGCAGAAGAGGAGAAAAAAAAUGUGAUUAUGGAGUUAUCAGAAAUGAGGAAGCAGCUCCGGAGCGAGGAGAGGCGUUUGCAGGGGCGGCUGCUGCACCUGGACAGUGACGACGAGAUCCCCAUGAGGAAAAGAGAGAGGAACCCAAUGGAUAUAUUUGACAUGGCUAGACAUCGGGUACAAGCCCCUGUCAGAAGACCAUCGCCUAAGGGCUUAGAUGCUACUACUUUUCAGAAUAUUCAUGACUUUAAUGAGCUGAGAGAGAGAGAUUCAGAUACUCGAGUGGAUCUGAGAUUAAUGUACCCAGAUCCUCCCCGCGAUCAUCACACCUUGGAGAUUCAGCAGCAGGCCCUACUCCGAGAGCAGCAGAAGAGGCUUAAUAGAAUAAAGAUGCGGAGAGAUGCAGGAGCUGAUUUGGACACCAUCUGCACUGAUAAUGCACAAGGGCGCAGAAUGCCCAGAGAUGACACUAAUGAUUUUUUGAAAAAUUCAUUACUAGAAUCUGAUAGUGCUUUUAUUGGUGCUUAUGGUGAGACAUAUCCUGUUAUUGAAGACAAUGCCUUCCCUCCACCAUCACAGCUGCCCUCUGCAAGGGAACGCAGGAGGAACAAAUUAAAAGGACUAGAUUUUGACAGUAGUCGGCUGCACACCCCACAAGAUGGUCUCUCUUUAAAAUCUAUCUCCAGUGUAAAUGUCGAUCAAGUUAGAAUGAGAAAUGAAGACAGAAUGAGAAGACUGACUGAGCAGCAGAAGAAACCCACUAACACAGAUGAUGAGGGUUCACUGGUUGAUCCUGAUGACAUCAUGAGACACCUGAGUGAUGAUGGACGCAACUCUGCGGCAACUGAGCCCUGGCUCCGCCCUGGCACUUCAGAAAGUCUGAAACGGUUCAUGGCAGAGCAUCUGAAUGAAGAACAGCAUAAGGGGCCUGGGAAGCCAGGCACGUUUACUUGGCAGGGCCUCUCUGCUGCACAUGCUUAAAAUAAACCCUCUCGGAUCCAGUAGUGCCUUUUACAGUGGAACGUUCACCUGUAUCUUGAAUACUAUGUCUUGCUUGUGGCCCUACUUUAAUAUUAGUUAUUUAUGUAAAGUGUAUUUUUCCCAUGAUGAUACGUUAUGUAUAUAUAAUGUACAUAAAAGCCCUGAUUAUUGGUUUCUAAUUGUAUAGAAUUAUUUUUGCAAUUUUGCUAUGGGUGGUAAUGAACUCUUGAUUGAGCUACCGUAUGUGCAUUAAAAUGUGCUUGCCAUUAAGAGGUGGUGAGCUAGAGUGUACACAGCACUGUGAAACAAUACACUGUUACUAGCCUACUUGCCACUGUUAGCAUUGUGGAGAAACAAUUCAGAGAGACUUGUUUUAUAUACUUGCUGUUGCUGUGACUAUGCCAGCUGCUAGGCAAUGAAAGAUUCAAACAAGCUGCUCAUUUUCAUAUCUGUAGUUACACAUUCCAUAGGAGCAAAGGGAUUUGUGAUCAUCCAUGAGCCAUGAUUAAAUGUUACAUUUUUCUGCCUCCAUCUUAUUUUUAUGCUGAUAGAAGCACAGACUGGGUUACUAAUUUAUCUGAUUUCACUAUUUCUUAACACAAAUAAAGUUCUAUUUUUAUUAAC